CAAGUCGAACGCCCCGCAAGGGGAGUGGCAGACGGGUGAGUAACGCGUGGGAAUCUACCUAGUUCUACGGAACAACAGAGGGAAACUUCUGCUAAUACCGUAUACGCCCUAAGGGGGAAAGAUUUAUCGGAAUUAGAUGAGCCCGCGUAAGAUUAGCUAGUUGGUGGGGUAAUGGCCUACCAAGGCGACGAUCUUUAGCUGGUCUGAGAGGAUGAUCAGCCACACUGGGACUGAGACACGGCCCAGACUCC
rnacentral:rRNA from 1 species